UGGGAAAAACAUCUAAUACCGGUAACUUGUUGAGACUUGAGACGGCCCAUAUAUUUGAUUAAAUUUGUUCAUUGCGAUUUGAACGCAGCAGCAUAUGGCGGGCAACAGCUCCGCCUCACUGAAGAUCAACUCUUGUAGCCCUGCUUCUCCAAUAUGGUGGACUCUGAAAAUAGUGGGUCUUCCUAUAUUUACAGAGGCUUCUUUUAUUUAGUUACUACAAAUGAAUUCCUCAAACUAGUUGUAUUGGGAUAUUACAACUUGAUCUUAAUAAACUUUUGAGUGAACAAGGAAUUUUCAAUAAAUUUUGAAUUUUGUUUUUGUAUUGGGAUAUUUAACGUGUGGGCACACAUAAUUUAAAGCCUAAGAUAAAAGAGAUUGUCAUAGUGGGGCCAGCUACUUGCUUUCCUUCCAUAUUCUAGGUACCUACUUUGCCUUUUUCUGCUUGCCUCGUUAUCUUGCUUAUGGACAAAAACUAGGUCUAUCAGAAAUAUCUUCUUUGUCUCUGAGUUAGGAAUUGCACUUUGUAAGACUACUGAGUAUAUUGUUGGACAUGAACUAAUCAAACUGUUGAAGAGUCACAUCGGAUGAAAAAGGGAUGGGUGGUCUCCUUGUAUGACCUUGGGCAAUCCUUUCUCAUGAGCUAGCUUUUGGUACUGAUAUUGGACAACAUAUGGAAUUGUCCACGCACCAGGCAAUGAAUUGCAUAGCAAGUCCUGAGAAGAUCUUUCGAAAACUGCUGACUUUUUUAGUUAGAACUGUGAUUUAGUCUAUAGAAUCUUACGCGCUAAGAAUUGAGUAAGAAAAAAAGAACUUGAUAGUUGAUAACCUUGACUUUCAUCGCCAAUUGGAAAUUUCCAAGUCUUCUUCAAGGUUUAAAUUUGUAUUUAAACUGUGACGCGCCAUUGAACUAUAAUACUACACCUUUUGUGUAAUCAUAUUGUCAAGUAUACCAAUUUAUCCUUAUUACAGUGAAAAACUAGCCUCAAAAUCAUCAGGAUGGUUGAUGCAGUUGUGUCCUAUGCAGUUGAAAAACUGGGAACAUUCCUCAUAGAGGAAGUUUCCCUGCGCCAAAGUCUGAGAGAGAAUGUUCUUUGGCUGAGAAAUGAACUGUCUUUCAUGAAAGCUUUCCUCAAAGAUGCUGAAAAAAAUCAAGAACAAGAUAACCUGGUGCAGCAAUGGGUAUUUGAAAUCACAUCCGUUGCUAAUGAUGCUGUGUAUAUCUUAGAAGCAUACAGUUUGGAUGCGGCAAAAGAUGGUGAUCAUGCUGCUGGAUUCGUUGAUCGUCUUAAGGCUUAUGCUUGCAUCUGUCAGAAGGAGGCCAAAUUACACGACAUUGGGAAGGACAUCCAGUCCCUCAAGGAAAGAGUCAUGGACAUCUCUCGAAAACGAGAUACCUAUGGUAUUGCUCACAACAAUAGUAAUGCUGGAGAAGGGCCCAGUAAUAGGCCAAACUAUACGUCUUCCAUGUUAACAUUGAGGAGAGCAGUGUCCUAUGCAGAUGAAGAUCAACUCUUUGUUGGAUUUCAAGAGGUCUUUCAAAGACUGCUUGAUGAACUUCUAAAAGAGGAGUCUCACAGAAAAGUCCUUUCAAUUUAUGGUAUGGGUGGGUUGGGCAAGACCACUCUUGCAAGAAACCUAUAUAACUCCCCAAGUUUAAUCACUACCUUUCACACUCGUGCUUGGAUAUCUGUCUCUCAACAGUAUAGUAUUCCAGAUCUCCUUCGGAGUAUCAUAAAAUCUAUUGAAGGCUGCAGUGAAGAAUUGCUCAAAUUGCUGAAGGAGAUGUCAGAGAGAGACCUAGAAACUUACCUCCGUAAUCUAUUGAAAAAGCACAAAUACCUUGUGGUGGUUGAUGAUGUAUGGCAUCGAGAAGCUUGGGAGAGCCUGCAAAGAGCCUUACCAGAUGACAACAAUGGCAGUAGAGUUAUCCUUACAACACGAAAGAAGGAAGUGGCUGAAAGAGUCGAUGACAAAGGUUUCCCCCAUGAACUUCGUUUUCUAAAUAAAAAAGAAAGUUGGGACCUUUUAUGCAAGAAACUACAUCCAGAGAAUAAGAUGGUUGGUGCUGACUUGUACUCCCCAUCAAUGGAAAGGCUAGCUAAUGAAAUGGUGGAGAAGUGCGGAGGAUUACCACUUGCUAUAGUAGUACUAGGUGGGAUACUUUCCUACAGAAAAGGGGUGGACGAAUGGCAAAAGGUGAAGACACACCUUUGGCAACAUAUGAAAAAUGACUCUGUUGAGAUAACUCACAUCCUAUCAUUGAGCUACAAUGAUUUGUCAUUUGAGCUCAAGCAAUGCUUUUUAUACAUUGGCAUUUUCCAAGAAGAUCAUGUGAUCGACACUGAAAAGUUGAUGCAUCUGUGGCUGGCAGAGGGAUUCAUACCAAGAAUUAGAGAAGAACAUAUGGAGGAUAUUGCUGAAAACUUCCUACAUGAGCUAAUAAGUCGAAGCUUGAUUCAAGUGGCCGAGACAUUCUUCGAUAAAUUUUUUGCAUGUAAAAUACACGACCUACUUCGGGAUCUUGCUGUCCAAAAGUCCAUGGAGGUUAACUUGUUUGACAUUUAUGAUCCAAGUGUAAGCUCGGUUACUCCAUUUCGUCACCGACAUGCUAUUCAUGGACAAACUCAAAAGUAUCUUUCACUUGAUCUUUCGAAAUUGAAGGUAAGGUCAAUAUUGUUUUUUGAUAAAGAAUUUGAGAAAUUGGAUAAUAGUGAAAAGUUCAUGACAUUCUGUACGACGUUCCCACAUCUAUAUGUGCUGGACUUGGAGAACAUCUAUUUUAGUGAGGGUAAACUACCUGAUGCUAUAGGCAAUUUGGUACACCUGAAGUUCUUAGGCUUGUCUAACACUAAUCUUUUCAAACUCCCAUCUUCCAUUGCCAAACUAGAAAACCUACAAACGCUGGAAGCACUGAUUGAUGACUAUUGCUCAUGCCAAUUACCUCCUCAGAUAGCCAAGCUCACAAAUUUGAGACAUUUAAUUACUCGAUAUGAGGUUCCCCUGCAAGUUAACAGGCUGACAAAUCUACGAACUCUGAAAUAUAUUCGUUGUGAUCAGUGGAAAGAUACUGAUGCUUCUGGUUUAGUCAACCUUCAAGAAUUGGGCAUGGAACAAAUUGCGAAAUCUUACUCCCUAAUAUCCAUUGGCAACCUGAAAAGCCUCACUACCUUGUUUCUAAUUUGCAAUCGUGGUGGAACUUUUCCUCCCCUUGAACCUCUUUCUUCUUGUGAAAACCUUCACAGAUUGUGGUUAUCAGGGGGAAUAGAAGAACUAGCAAAUUUAAACAAUCUGCCAAAAUCCAUCACUGUGUUAGUCCUACAGUCUCCAUUCUAUACAGGACUCGAGGAAGAUCCAAUGCCAAUUCUGGGGAAGUUUCCAAACUUAAAGCAUCUCGAGUUAUCAUGUGCUUACAUGGGAAAGAAAAUUACUUGCAACGGCAACAGUUUUGGUCAGCUGGAGACCCUUAGACUUGAAUAUCUUGACAAUCUUGAAAGCUGGCAUCUUCACACAACUGCUAUGAGUGUGCUUAAAAGUUUGAGUAUACGUCAGUGUCCGAAGCUGAUGAAAAUUCCAAAAAGAAUGGAACAUAUUAAAAUGCUUGAUGGUAAUCAAAGCCAACGGGAGUACUAUUAUCGGUUCCCACAUUAACAAGUUAGGAACUUGCUGCAUGUCUGAAGCUUUUGAGUCACAGGUUUGAGCCGUGGAAGCCGCCACUGCAUUAGGGUUGGUUUUCUACAUCUUCCCAGGACCCUGCUAACUUGGGAUGCUUUUUGCACCGCGCUGCCCUUAUAUGCUUGAAGCCUGAUUUGGAUUGAAGAAUGUUUGAUGUAUAGAGCUAGUGAACACUAAAACGAACAUGCUUUUCCCAGGAUGAUCAUUCUUUUGUUGCUUCUGUGGAGUUAACUGAUGUAUUUCUUGCAUCAGCACGAUAUGGAAGCGGCAGCACUGCACCAGUGACACCUUUUUCAUCAGACGGGGUGUUGGCUGACUGGGGACAGGGACUUCGCUAAAUGCUCUUUUUGGGGGUGUGGCUGGUUGCACUGCUACAAUGUGACAGUCUCUGAUCUCUACAAUGCUCCUUUAUUCUAAAUUUCGUCCUAGGGGAUAAUGCUGGUCUCUGGGCAAUGACAAGAGUUGGAAGCCGAAGAGUCAUGCAAAUAUCUGCUGCUUUUAUGUUUUUUCUUCUCCGUCUUAGGAUAAUUUGGAGCAAUACCUGCAUCAAUCAUGGCUGCAAUAUACUGCAUCUUCUUUAGAACAAACUUCAUAUUGGAACUGGUCCUCUUCAUACACAUUCUAGAUGGUUUAAUGACGCAAUAUCUGUCAUCUUCACAUCACAUGCCACGAUAGCUGCUGCAGUUGCUGUAUUUUUGGAUAGGACUCUUCCAUUAAGUAACGAUGAAGCUCGAAAAGACAAUGGCUCGCAUUGGUGGGACAAGUUUGUGGUAUAUACUAAAGAUGUUAGAAGUGAUGAGUUUUAUACAUUGCGAUGCCAACUUAAUAGAUGAUUCUUCCCACCUUUUAGUCAAAAAUAAAUGUCAUCACUGUUUUGUAAGGGGCUUGUUUCCUUCAUAAACUCGCUCGAGUUCUACCAAGUUUUGUUCUUUUAUUCCUUUAGGAUAACAUCUCAUUCUGUUGACAUCCUAGAAAUCUUGCUAUUAUUGAAUGUCAGGUGUAUCUGCAAUGGAUCCUCA